UAAUGUUUCCGUUUCAUCGCGUGGACAAAUUUCAACUCGUUUCUGGUCAGGAGUCAUUCCAGGUCCAUCGUAUCCUAGCAAAAUUGAAGUUCAAUAUAUACUUGUGUUCGAAUGAAAUAAAAAUGACGUUUAAAAUGA
rnacentral:lncRNA from 1 species